UGGGGAAUUUUGGACAAUGGGGGGAAACCCUGAUCCAGCCAUCCCGCGUGUGCGAUGAAGGCCUUCGGGUUGUAAAGCACUUUUGGCAGGAAAGAAACGUCGCGGGUUAAUACCCCGCGAAACUGACGGUACCUGCAGAAUAAGCACCGGCCAACUACGUGCCAGCAGCCGCGGUAAUACGUAGGGUGCAAGCGUUAAUCGGAAUUACUGGGCGUAAAGCGUGCGCAGGCGGUUCGGAAAGAAAGAUGUGAAAUCCCAGAGCUUAACUUUGGAACUGCAUUUUAACUACCGGGCUAGAGUGUGUCAGAGGGAGGUGGAAUUCCGCGUGUAGCAGUGAAAUGCGUAGAUAUGCGGAGGAACACCGAUGGCGAAGGCAGCCUCCUGGGAUAACACUGACGCUCAUGCACGAAAAGCGUGGGGGAGCAAAACAGGAUUAGAUACCCUGGUAGUCCACGCCCUAAACGAUGUCAACUAGCUGUUGGGGCCUUCGGGCCUUGGUAGCGCAGCUAACGCGUGAAGUUGACCGCCUGGGGAGUACGGUCGCAAGAUUAAAAACUU
rnacentral:rRNA from 1 species